UUGGAUUAGUUAGUUUAACUUACGGCCUGUCAGUGAUAAGAAAGAUAAGAGCAGCUAAGCUAAUAAGAAAUUUUGAUCCGGCUGCCAGUUACUAUAGUCCGGUAUUCCAUUUGCUAUACAACGGGUGGAACAAGGUAACAACCAAGCGAUCUGAUGACUUUCUUGCUGUCUGAUGCAGCUGCUUUAGGGUACUCAAACAGUUUCAGUCCAAAGACUCAUUC